UAGAGUUUGAUCCUGGCUCAGGAUGAACGCUGGCGGUCUGCUUAACACAUGCAAGUCGAACGGAACUCUUCGGAGUUCAGUGGCGGACGGGUGAGUAACGCGUGAGAAUCUACCUAAAGGACCGGGACAACCACUGGAAACGGUGGCUAAUACCGGAUGUGCUUUACUGUGAAAGGGGAAACUCGCCUUUAGAUGAGCUCGCGUCUGAUUAGCUAGUUGGUGAGGUAAAGGCUCACCAAGGCAACGAUCAGUAGCUGGUCUGAGAGGACGAUCAGCCACACUGGAACUGAGACACGGUCCAGACUCCUACGGGAGGCAGCAGUGGGGAAUUUUCCGCAAUGGGCGAAAGCCUGACGGAGCAAGACCGCGUGAGGGAGGAAGGCCCUUGGGUUGUAAACCUCUUUUGUCAGGGAAGAACACAAUGACGGUACCUGACGAAUCAGCCUCGGCUAACUCCGUGCCAGCAGCCGCGGUAAUACGGAGGAGGCAAGCGUUAUCCGGAAUUAUUGGGCGUAAAGCGUCCGCAGGUGGCUAUUCAAGUCUGCCGUCAAAGCACAGGGCUUAACUCUGUCAAGGCGGUGGAAACUGAAAGGCUAGAGAGAGGUAGGGGUAGAGGGAAUUCCCAGUGUAGCGGUGAAAUGCGUAGAGAUUGGGAAGAACAUCGGUGGCGAAAGCGCUCUACUGGACCUCAUCUGACACUCAGGGACGAAAGCUAGGGGAGCGAAUGGGAUUAGAUACCCCAGUAGUCCUAGCUGUAAACGAUGGAUACUAGGCGUGGCUUGUAUCGACCCGAGCCGUGCCGUAGCUAACGCGUUAAGUAUCCCGCCUGGGGAGUACGCACGCAGGUGUGAAACUCAAAGGAAUUGACGGGGGCCCGCACAAGCGGUGGAGUAUGUGGUUUAAUUCGAUGCAACGCGAAGAACCUUACCAGGGCUUGACAUGUCCGGAACCCUUUUGAAAGAAAGGGGUGCCUUCGGGAGCCGGAACACAGGUGGUGCAUGGCUGUCGUCAGCUCGUGUCGUGAGAUGUUGGGUUAAGUCCCGCAACGAGCGCAACCCUCGUCUUUAGUUGCCAGCAUUUAGUUGGGCACUCUAGAGAGACUGCCGGUGACAAACCGGAGGAAGGUGGGGAUGACGUCAAGUCAGCAUGCCCCUUACGUCCUGGGCUACACACGUACUACAAUGCUGCGGACAAAGGGCAGCCAGCUCGCAAGAGUGAGCUAAUCCCAUAAACCGUGGCUCAGUUCAGAUCGCAGGCUGCAACUCGCCUGCGUGAAGGCGGAAUCGCUAGUAAUCGCUGGUCAGCAUACAGCGGUGAAUCCGUUCCCGGGCCUUGUACACACCGCCCGUCACACCAUGGAAGUUGGCCAUGCCCGAAGUCGUUACCCUAACCCUAGUGGAGGGGGACGCCGAAGGCAGGGCUGAUGACUGGGGUGAAGUCGUAACAAGGUAGCCG
rnacentral:rRNA from 1 species